UGUCCAUCUUGACCAGCAGGUAGAGGAUGACGGUGAGGAGGUCAUCUGCACACACGGCUUCGAUGCUGACUGCAACACACAAACAACAUACGCGGCUCUUGGGGUAGUACGCCUCCGAAGAGCCGAGUUCGGCCGAGCCUGGCGCCGCCUCGACGGGCCGCGAGAUGCAAAGGAUGCUGUAGCUCUGCUCGCGCUCAUUGUAGAAGGUCUCCUCGAAAAGGAUGGGAACGGACGAGCCGGAUCCCAGCAGGACCUGCCUGUCGUGGAUCCUGACCUCCUGCCGAAUGACACCGCUCCUCCACAGGCUGCAGCACGUAGCUGUCAAAGUGACAGUCGGAUAGGGCGCUAGCACCUAAACUGACACAGCACGGAACCAGAACCUGCAGAGAGUCAUUUGGUAACCAGAUUUGUUCCUGAUCCUAUCCAUCCCGGUCACUCCCAAUGUGAGCCUCAGCAUCCGCAUCUCUGCUACCUCCGGUUCUGAUUCCUGGUUAUUUAUUGUAUUCCUAAUUAUGAUAUAUGCGAGGACAUGCUGUAUAUGGUGGCAAACGUGGAGUGGGUCCAUCGCAUCGUGAUCAUGACUUUGUACAUUUCACAUGAUAAAUCGGUCAGCUGACAUCAAGUGGCGAACAACAAUCUGCAGCGUGACAUUGAUCACGCAGCUUUCAUUUGUUUGAAAACGUUUGACACUUCCUUUUGUUAUAUCAUUUCAUCAUUGCUGAAAGACAUUAAUGUAAUGUUUGAUAGCAAAUGCUAACUGGGCGUGUCUAAUGAACGCUAACGAACCAUUUUUAAUUGACAUACUAUGGUACUCAGGUUAUGUACACAACUUUUUUUUUUAAUAUCCCCCCCAUUUAAACCAUUAUAAAGCAUUUAUUUUGGACGCAGCUUGACCCUGGAACGGAUUACUUUGUUACUUCGUUGGGGGGGGCUGCCAGUCAAGUGCAACAUGACAUAUUUACAAAAGGUUAUUUUGCACUAGCAGAUUCAAAUAAAAUAUAUACAUUACCUUUUGACACUCCGAGGCUAAUGUAGAUGAUAGCUAACAAGCUAAAGGCACUAUAGCUAACAGCAUAACUAUCUUAGCACUAUUGUUUUAUUCCCAUUUACAAGCAAACAAUGUUUAUUCCCGGCAUGUUUGUGUCUAUGAGAUUUCUGCCCGGCCAAUCCAAACUGGGAACCGGAAGUGUCAAGAAUUAGCGUUAUUAGCAGCUAAAAACAAGACUGUUAGCAUCAGCUAGCAUUGCACUACAACAGGCAUAAAAAUAAUCGUCACAGUGUGAUGCGAAAAGCUAUCUUUACACUAUUCUUUUAUUCCCGGCAUGUUUGUGUCUAUGAUAUUUCUGCCCGGUCAAUCCAAACUGGGAACCGGAAGUGUCAAGAAUUAGCGUUAUUAGCAGCUAAAAACAAGACUGUUAGCAUCAGCUAGCAUUGCACUAACACAGCUAUAAAAAUAAGCGUUAUGCAGCGUGAUGGAGCAACAAAAUUGUUUUCUUUUACCUUGUAUCAACACGUCGCCGGGGGUGGGUGGGUGUCACCGCUUCAGAAGCCCGUCAUGAGGUGACUGAGGUUCCGCCUUACUUCGCUCCGUUAGUUGGUUAGCUAGCUAAAGUAGCUAGCUAGCUAGCACCGCUGUACGUGCUAACGUGUGUCAUGUUCAAUCCCAACACGUUUUAUAAGUAUAAAACAGCACUCCAUCCCCCGUCGUGGUUAUAUUAACUACACUCAAACAUGUUAAAAAGCAGCCAUGUUGCGAAAACCUGUCCAAAGAUGCUCUAGUUAGCUAAGGACCUUCUACAAAAACGCUCGACAAAGAGCCGCUACAACGGGGGUUCUCAACCGGUCUCAGUCAUGGUCAUGAAGAAGCACAAUCAGCAUCAUCGGCCAGAGCCAGCUGCACCUUCACGUACGGGUCUCCAUGCAAAGCACACGGGAGUCUUUUCAACUUCAGAUGACCGGGAUGAGUCUAGGACCCCGCCCCUUUGAGUAGAAGAUGCGUGAUGUCUCACCUGAACUCCCGUCGAGGUCGGUGCUUUUGAGGUUCUUGGCCUCCAGGAUGACCACAGUCAGUUUGCUGGCGGUGGGAACGUAACGCAGCGAGAAGCAGAUCUCUCCCAGGUUCUCCUCCUGCAGCCAAUCAGCAUCAACGUAUGCAAAUGAGCCUGUGAAGUUGCGGUCUUAUGUUCCGCAGAUGUGAGCUUCGCUAAACCUCCGUUUUAGAGGGCUCCUCCAGGUCUCGCCAUUCCUCGAUGACGUGGUUCCAGUCCACCUGACCCAGUUUCAGUCUGAGCUCGCCGAUGAUGUCGUGUUUGGAGAAUCGGUCAAAGUCAAACACCUGCAAGACUGCUACGGACUUGAGCAGCGUCGCCUUGGAGAUCUGUGACCACACACACACACACGCUCGCAUCAUCUUCUAACCACACCCAGGAGCCAAGCGGCGCCCACCUGGAAGUUGAAGUGCUCGUUGAAGACGGCGUUGAGCGUGUUCUUCAGCACUUUGGUCUCGCAGGUCUUGGUUUUGUCAGGGAGGAUAUAAACCUUGACGUACGGGUCUGAGGUGCCCCCGAUGUCCAUGGCUUUCAGGCUGCUGGCUUGUUUGAUACCCACCGUCAGCUAUAUACAUUAUACAUGACUGCGUUAGCAUGCAAGCUAGUUUGUCGGUGGUCAUUUUGGUUAGGAUUUGGGUCACCUCGGAGAGAGCGGCGUUGAACUCCAGCGAGUAGAGCAGUUUUCCUCGCGGUUGCUUUUUGGCGUCAGAAUUCUCGCCCGCGCUGGGUUGAACCUGCCCAAAAAAAAAAAAAAAAGUUUAGCAACACAGGUAUUAGCCACUGUGGCUGUAGGCAACCUUCUGAUGAAGUUUAGCAUUUGAAAGUCAGCAGGUUCUAUUACUGCUGUGUUGCACUAUAUACUAUUUUUUUUCUUGUCAAAUAUAUAUAUAAAAUGAUUUUUUUACUUAAUAAAUAAUAUACAAUAUGAACAGAAUUAGUAUUGCUAUUAUAAAAUAGUAUAGUUAAUAUUGAUUGAGUUAUUUUGUUGGUAAAAACAACACAAUGAUGAAUAUUUGGGCAAU